UUAUUGUUGAAGCUCAGUAGCACCUUUGCCAACAGAAGCGUCAAUAAGGACUCCUUCACCUGCCCUGAAUUUUAGAAGGGAACGGCAGAAUGUUAGUAGAACAGUGCAGAGCCGGCUUUGCAGGUCUAGCAGUUUGUUUCGCAGGCUGCUCUUCAAGAUGUCAGCAUUCUGCAUUUCAGCGGAAAACAGGGAUCAGCAUAAUCAGGAACCCCAGCUCUCCAAUGGCCCAGCAUCCUAUUAACAGCAAAGUUUUGGAGAUCAUGCUGGCAUCCACGAACAGAGAACAUGUUCAUCCUUCCAGAUACCAUUGGUAUCAUUUCCAAGCACAUUGAAAAGGAACACUACAGAGCUUCACUCCCAGAAGGGAUUAGAAUGACCACAAAUCUCAUCACUUUCAGAAUGAAAUGUAAAGCCGCUUCGCUUUGACCUUGCUUUCCCACAACAACAAUCAUCGCCGCCGACCUGGGGAUUCGGAGAAGAAACAAACAUCUGAACAGAAGAUCCCUGCUAGAGAAGUCCAUCCAGCCAUCAUCAUUCUCCCCACAGUGGACAACCACCUCUGGAUAUUCUACAAGCAGGGGAUGAGGGCAAAAAUCCUCCCCUGCUAUUGUCUGCUCGAGCAACUGGAAUUCAGAAGCAUACGGCCCCUGAAGGCUCUGCAUAUUUAUCCUGGCUAAUAGCCAUUGAUAGACUCAUCCUCGAUGAAUGUAUCUAAUUCCCUUCUACAGACCAAUAAGUCACCACUAUAGGGCCAUUCACACAAUUAGCAAAAAUUGAGCUAGGAGAGCCUAGCCCGAUUUUUGUUAUACGUGAAAACCACCGGGCUCAGCUACAAGCCCAGUGGUUCCAGAGCGGGUAACCCGCUCGGGAACUCCUGAUUAAAAAAACAGGUUUGCGGAGCGAGCACUCUGCAAACGUGGUUUUUAGAAUCAUUCUUAGCUGCAGUUUGGCUUCGAGUUGUGCCUACUUAUGAGUAGGCCCCCGGCUGGGAGGCUUAAAAGCAGCUUGCGCA